rnacentral:lncRNA from 1 species
CCAGACAAUAAUCCAAAGGAUAAAUUCGAUGACAAAAUAAAGCAAGCUACGUCUCCUGAACCUAACUUAACAUCGGCAUGGGUGCUAUAUAUUGAUGGAGCAUCCAAUGCACAAGAUAGUAGAGCUGGCCUCAUUCUCAUCAAUUCUGAAGGGGUUAUUACGGAAUCGCCAUUCGAUUUAAUUUCAAAGCUUCGAAUAAUCAAGUCGAAUAUGAAGCACUCUUAGCUGGCCUAAAAAUUAUCAAAAAACUUGAUAUCGACAGUCUGAAGGUCUUCACCGACUCACAAUUGAUUGC